UACGUAGGGCGCAAGCGUUAUCCGGAAUUAUUGGGCGUAAAGAGCUCGUAGGCGGUUUGUCGCGUCUGCCGUGAAAGUCCGGGGCUCAACUCCGGAUCUGCGGUGGGUACGGGCAGACUAGAGUGCAGUAGGGGAGACUGGAAUUCCUGGUGUAGCGGUGAAAUGCGCAGAUAUCAGGAGGAACACCGAUGGCGAAGGCAGGUCUCUGGGCUGUAACUGACGCUGAGGAGCGAAAGCGUGGGGAGCAAACAGG
rnacentral:rRNA from 1 species